rnacentral:rRNA from 1 species
GUGGGGAAUCUUGCGCAAUGGGCGAAAGCCUGACGCAGCCAUGCCGCGUGAAUGAUGAAGGUCUUAGGAUUGUAAAAUUCUUUCACCGGGGACGAUAAUGACGGUACCCGGAGAAGAAGCUCCGGCUAACUUCGUGCCAGCAGCCGCGGUAAUACGAAGGGGGCUAGCGUUGCUCGGAAUUACUGGGCGUAAAGGGCGCGUAGGCGGACAGCUUAGUCAGAGGUGAAAGCCCAGGGCUCAACCUUGGAAUUGCCUUUGAUACUGGCUGUCUUGAGUUUGGGAGAGGUGAGGGGAACUCCGAGUGUAGAGAUGAAAUUCGUAGAUAUUCGGAAGAACACCAGUGGCGAAGGCGACUCACUGGCCCAAUACUGACGCUGAGGCGCGAAAGCGUGGGGAGCAAACAGGAUUAGAUACCCGAGUAGUCC